CAACUUCUAUUUUUCUUUCACUUCCAAAUAUCAGUCUCCAUUUUGUCCUGAAUUAACUUAACUUUGCAGCAACAAUGUGUCGAUAUGUCACGAUGUGUUUUGUUGCUUCGAUCAUUUUGCUAGCUAAUUUUGCACCCAAUUUUGAAGCUCGAAAACUCCAGAACAUAAAAAUUGAAAAUACUUAUCAUGAUCAUUCUCCGGAACCCCAGAGAAAUAAUGAAGUACGCGCCAACUUUGUUAGUAAGAAGAAUCAAUUUGAGCUUGGUGGCCAUGUUGAUCGCAAUUUGGGGUCAGUCCCUAGUCCUGGAAUUGGCCAUUAAGCAUCGCGCAACGGGCAGAAGUAUAAAUAAUAUAAUAUGUAUACCAAAUUAUUUUUAUCUACAUAUGAAUACAGAUCGAUUAUUAGUACAGUACUUUAUCUUGGCAAUAGUCAUUGUUCACAUUAUUAUGAAUGUUUUGUAAUUCUUCAGCUCAAAUGGUACAAUAUAUUUUUAGUAAACAGAGUAUGAAUAUUAAUCUCAGACUUAUGAAAUUACGCUGGGUAUCUUGUUCUAGAGUAUGAAGGUUAAUGUUGUAGUAUGGUUUGUAUAUUCAAGCUUUUAGUGAACUAAAUAUGGA
rnacentral:lncRNA from 1 species